CCUACGGGAGGCAGCAGUGGGGAAUAUUGGACAAUGGGCGAAAGCCUGAUCCAGCAAUGCCGCGUGUGUGAAGAAGGCCUGCGGGUUGUAAAGCACUUUCAGUGGGGAAGAAAAGCCUGGGGUGAAUAUCCCUGGGUCUUGACGGUACCUCCAAAGGAAGCACCGGCUAACUCUGUGCCAGCAGCCGCGGUAAUACAGAGGGUGCAAGCGUUGUUCGGAAUUACUGGGCGUAAAGCGCGUGUAGGCGGCAGGAUAAGUCGGACGUGAAAUCCCUCAGCUCAACUGAGGAAGUGCGCUCGAUACUGUUCUGCUUGAGUGUCGGAGGGGGUGGCGGAAUUCCCGGUGUAGAGGUGAAAUUCGUAGAUAUCGGGAGGAACACCUGUGGCGAAGGCGGCCACCUGGACGACAACUGACGCUGAGACGCGAAAGCGUGGGUAGCAAACAGGAUUAGAUACCCUGGUAGUCCACGCUGUAAACGAUGAGUGCUAGACGUCGUGGGUAUUGACCCCCGCGGUGUCGAAGUUAACACGUUAAGCACUCCGCCUGGGGAGUACGGUCGCAAGAUUAAAACUCAAAGGAAUUGACGG
rnacentral:rRNA from 1 species